UCUGUGUGCAGGAAGAGAACAGUUUCCUCUCAGAAUAUUUAGUGUAAGUUUGCAGCUCUCAGCAGAAGCUAACCUCAGCACCCAAGAUGAAGACCUUCUUGCCAAAAUUUGCCAUCAAACAAUACAGCACGUAUGUCGCAAUGAUUGUGAUUUUUGUUCACAAUUAUGUGCUUGACGAGGAUUUAAACUGCACUUGCGAUGCUGACAUAACAACCUGCUCCUUCUACUUGGUUCUACCUUUUUUAAUCUUAUGUGCUUUACAACUCUGGACAGACGAGCCAUUCAAGAGAGUCUGGAAAUACACAUGUCCUACAUGCACCUGUUGUUGUUGUUGUUGCAAAUGCAGGUGCAAACUUUUCUUGGUUUUGUGUUUACAAAUUAUGAAGGCAGUUUGCAUUGGUCUGCUUUGGGUAUUGUCCGUGUUCAUCGAUGGAGACUGGUUUGUUUGCUGUUGCAAUACAUAUGAAGAACAUCCACAGUUAGGCUGCAAAGACAAAAAAAACAUCACAGCUGAGGAACGAGUCCUGAUUGCUAAGCUGAAAAACAAAUCCAUGCUGAUUGGCUUGGGUGCACUCUUGGUUGGCUUUGUUUUUGUUACCUUUGUGUUACCACUUGGAUGGAAGAAAUGCUGUGAAAAGAGAGAGAAUUGCCCAAGUUGCUGUGACAGAAAACUUCUAUACGACCAAAUGAUUUUGGAGGAGGAAGAAAAUGUACUCACAGAGAUGAUAAGAAAAGCAGCAAAAGAUAAGCUGACCGAAGAAAUGCAGAAGAAACUCAACAGUGAAAGAUGGGGGGAAUGUUUUGAUGUUGCUGAAGAGCUGAUUAAAAACAAAACUCCACCAGGACACAAGGAUGAAAUUUCUUCUUUUGAAAUUCAGGAGCCAGAGGUGAAGGGCCUCCUAAUGAAGUCUGUUGCAGAAAAACGCACAACAAAAAUGUGAGGAAAUUAUCGUCACUGCGACCAUCUUACCAGAAUUCAGAAGUUUCAUUUUCAGUUUAUCAGAAAAAUUUUUUGUCUGUACAUCACAAGUGAAAGAAAACUAUACUAAAAUUGUUGUGUUAUGCUUAAAAAUACCAUGUUAUGGUGAUACAUGUAUGUUUCAUAUAUUUCAAAGUUUUUUUAUGUCACAUGAGCGUAGAUUUUUAAUGCUGCUUAUUUUAAUCUAUGAUAUUGUUUAAAUUUCACAAAUGUGAGCAUGUUAUAAGGAACGUCUAUAGAAAGCAUUUGAGUCAUUGCGCAUCACUUUGUAGCUGACAGCUUGCCUCUAGGCAUUUUGCAGCCUUUGGUUGCCUUGGGAACCCUUUAAGAUAUUUACCAUCCCUUUAUAUUUGAAUCAACCAUAGUGUUCACUCUUGCUGGUAGCCUCAUCAUCACUCUGUUUAGACCCCAAAGUUUAACUUUUGACCUGCUCGCUUCACACUGACGUUGGCCAUUUUGUUUCUAGUUGCUCAAGCUCAAAUUUUACAAGUAGCCUAUUGAAGACAUUAAUAAUACAGUUUUCACUAUUACUGUAACAUUUAAUGCCACCUGUGUACAAACGACACGCUCAUAUAAAGAAGCUGUGAAGUUUCAGGUUUGGCAGAAAUCAUAAAAAUGAAGCUUUUGGAUCUAGAAACAGAAAAACUGAGAUUUUGAUUUUAACGUGCUAAGUUGAUAUUUGAAUAAUACUUUCAAAUGAAAUGCACAAUUUGAAUUGUAAUAUGUGUUUCAGUAAAAAUGAAUAAAAAAAAUAUGAGCUUUG